CAAUAGCGUAUAUUAAAGCUGUUGCGGUUAAAAAGCUCGUAGUUGGAUUUCUGUCAAGGACAACUGGUCCGCCCUCCGGGUGAGCACAUAGUUUGGUCUUGACAUCUUGCUGGAAGCUGUUGCUGCACUUGGCUGUGUGGCGCAGUGUUCAGCACUUUCACUUUGAGGAAAUUGGAGUGUUUCAAGCAGGCACAUGCCUUUGGACACAGUAGCAUGGAAUAAUUAGAUUGGGCUUUUGCUCCAAUUUGUCGGUUUCUGGAGCUGAGGUGAGUAUUAAUGGGGAUUGUUGGGGCAUCCGAAUUUAGCCGUCAGAGGUGAAAUUCUUGGAUCUGCUAAAGACGGACAACUGCGAAAGCGUUUGCCCAGGAUGUUUUCAUUGA
rnacentral:rRNA from 1 species